UAUCACAAGACUGUUAAGAGGAAAGGAAGCGGAAUGCGAAACGAAGGAUGUCGGUUUGGUCGCAACGAUCUUCGAACCGGAGGCCGGCUACAUCGCAAUUUUCAAUGGAGGAAAUGUCAAGCUACAGACGGAUUGUGGAGUCCAAAACAAGGCAAUGGUAAACAACGUACAGUACGAAGCGGUAGAGAUGCUUGGCAGAGCAGAGUUGAAGUUGAACAUUCCUCGGAUAGAGACGAUUAAGAGAAACAGGACAACCCAGGAGCUGUGAAUACACGAGCUGAGGAUGGAGGAUCUGGAAACGAAAAUACAGAUCAGCAGGAUACAGUGAGAAACUACGAUCCAUACAACAACAACUUACUCGAUGCUCGGUAUACUACUGAUAGUAGUAUUCGUCGUGGCCUGGUUCCCAAAGAAUACAAAAAUUUUCACACCAGAGACUAAACCACUGGCCACCUUCACACCCACCAUCGCUUCACCUGCUACGGUUGUAGCAACUAUGUCCCCGCUAUGGUCGGAGGAGGGAACCCUCGGCGGUCCCCCACCAAAGCCACUUCGACAACCAGAGGUCUAAGCGGGCACCAAGAUAUACUUUGUUGUGCUCUGUUGCGGUUCACUUAAAACGCUGAGACAUAGUAUCAAUUAAACAUCCGAAAUGCUGCAUCGGCGACCACUUGAAAUGUUGGGUCUUGGAUCGAUUACCAUUGAAAAUGCUGAAUCGAACCAAACAAGGGGGCAACUUGACAACACUGAACUUCAUCCGCUCCUUUUCUACUUUUCGGUCAAUCAGCAUAUUAGAAUAAG
ensembl:ncRNA lncRNA:CR44105 long non-coding RNA:CR44105